GGGCUGGGUCCUUAGGGUCUCACAGGGUCAAAAUGGAGGCAGAUGCUGGAUGGCGCGCUUAUCUGGACGUCCUUGAGAAGAAGAAUCAGCUUUCGACCUCCUUCAGGCUGUUGACAGAAUUCAGAUCCUGUGGCUGGUGAGGACGGAGGACCCCUUCCUUGCUGGCUGUCAGGGGAAGACAUGCUGACCCUUCUGGUGGCACCUUUCAGGGUGCAGAGGAUUGCUGUGGUGCUAGCUUUGAUGGAUUGUUUGCAAAAGUGGCUGCAAUUAUUCAGCUCCCUCUGCAGUGGUGGAGUCUGUGUCCACUCCGCUUGACUCUCAGCUGAUCCUGUGGCCUGCUUAGACCAAGAGACUGCAAAAGAAGUGACUGUCUGUGCUGAGCCCUCAUCUCUAGAGACAAUGCACGCUUCCACCUGCCCCUUUCAAACUCUGCUGAGCUGCCUUGUGAACAAACAGCCCAGGCUCCUCAUCCAGCCCAAUCCAGAGGCAGAGCAGAUGGCAGUUGCUUGAGGGAAGGCAUCUGAGGUCAGCAGAACUAGAGAUUCACCAGAAGGAACUUAUGGCUGUUAUUUUAAGACACUAAGUUUUGGGUUGCUUUGCUAAUAUGCUCAUAGUUCCAUUUCUCUUCGGAGACAGGUCAAACGGAUAAGUCCCACCCUGUUCUUGGGAGCAACAUUAAACAGUAGUCUGGGACAAAGGUUUCUCACAGAAACUUCACGAGCAUGAUAGACUCCAUAUGUUUCAAUAACAGGCAAAGUAUCUUUCUGUGAAAGUCACA
rnacentral:lncRNA from 1 species